rnacentral:lncRNA from 1 species
GUUAUUUGGAAAAGCCAAUAUGCAAACUGCUCAGUCUGCGCCUGGCCCCCGCCCCACGAGGCCCCAUUAGCAGCCACUUUCCCAAAACAGCCCGCCCCGCUUUGGAAGGUUCCUUUCUAUUCAACCCGAGCAGGGCCCAGCAGCAGCCUGCUUGCCAGGCCCUGAGCUCGGAAAGACAAAGGGCCGCGAUUGAAUUUUUUUCGGCGGCGCGCAGAAUCUGAAGAUGUUGUUUACUCUAGAGAAUGGGCUGAAGCUCCCGGCCCGAGGGUGCAGUCUCUAGCCGCUCACCCGCCAUUAGUCAUAACUUAAUAAAAGCCCUAAACGGCUAGCGGAAGAGCCGGCUUCGAAGGCGCAGAGAUUGCCUUAGUUCACCCCAAGAAAAGGGGUUUCUUCAUCUCAUUUUAUUUUCUAGAAAAUGCCAUCUGAAAUGAGGUCCAGCAUCCAGCAGGGGCAGACUUGGGGACUUGAAGAGGUGGAUUCGAAUCCUGCUCUGGUUUUUAUUAGCCAUAGGACCUGAUGUGGCUUCUUGCAGUUAGAGCUGAAGCGGUUUGUCUGUUUUCCUCCCGUGUUUAUCCUUUUGAAAGAACCCCCAUUUUCGUCAAGGAUUCACCUGCCCUCCUGGGUCUAGAGUGAGAUCCUGAUUGCUUCAAGUCAGUAAUGGUGCUCCCCACCUCUGCUUUGGGGGCCAUAUGAUACAACUCUAGUCAGAGCUUUGAGUGGAAAUAGUUCUAGGAGUUUCUAGGAAUAAUCUCCCCCCAUUUAAGAAAGAGUCCCAUGGAAACCAAGAGGUAAGUCUGCCUGAAGAAGCUAACAUGCUGAAGUUGUCAAGAAUGAAGGAAAAGAGGGGGAGGGGGUUGUUGAUACUGAAAGAACAGGAGAGCCACAGGACUUGGUGAACCCUAAACUUCUAUGCCUGGGAACCCCAAGAACCCCAGGAGAGAAACAAGUAUGGAAAAAAGAAUGGAAAAAGUUUUCUGAAGACAGGUUUAACUGUGAAAGGAAGAUCCACCCUAAUGUUGACAGCACCAUCCUGAGCUGCAGGGCCCAGACUGAAUAAAAAGGAAAAUGGAAAAUGGGAAGCUGAGCUCCAGCCUUCACCUCUGCUCCCUGCAUCUCUCACAUUCAAGCCACCGAGGAGCCUUCCUGCCACAAUGGACGCAUCUUCAACUGUGAGCCAAAUACUUCCUUCUUCAAGGUGCUUUCCAGACUAUGGGUAUGAUGAUAGCUGCUUCUAGCUCCUGCUGCCUUGAGUACUCUACAGCAGACCUGCAAUUCUGAAAUGAAAAG